rnacentral:lncRNA from 1 species
UCACUUGGAGAACAAGGGAAAUACAAUUCAAAGUUUUGUUAAUCAGGAGUCCGCCUGGAGAACCAGGGAAUACAAUUCAAGUCCUUGUAAUCAGGAGCCCGCCUGGAGAACAAGGGAAUACAAUUCAACGUUUUAGCAAUCUGGCACCCACCUGGAGAACAAGGGAACACGAUUCGAGUUCAUCAAUCACGCAUAAACC